AGGCUCGGCAGUCAAUGGACAUCUUGCAACCGCGAUUUUGACAUAAACGAAGUGCUGUCUUUUUGCGCACCUUUCGAGCAGUAAUCUGCGCCGUUUAUUGAAAGGGAGCCUCAGUUUUUGUCGUCUGCUGAACGUGGUUUUCUCGGCACAAAUCAACUUCAAUAAAUUAGACGACAGUGUAUAUAUUGAGUAACUGGUAUUUCAUUGGGGUGGACAAGGUCUGUGACUGUUGUUGUCGACAAGAACUGUCUGGCUUGCUGCAUUCUGGGUGUUCUAACCAUUACUAAUGGCCAUAUGAAAAAUGUGAGAGCGUUACCUGGGCCAUCAAGCUACACCUGGUACUGAAAUAAUCCAGGUAGCCAAGCAUGGUGUUUGUCCUUUUGUUGGCUAUGUCACAUUACUGGUUGAUGACACUUGAAAGACACCAUGUAUGUGAGACAACAGCAAAAUCAACAUGGUCCUUAAUACUUCUAAAAUGAUCUGUUGCCAGCCAGCUGACAGUUGUUUGGCUGAAAUUCUUUGUCAACACUAUUAAUUAACAAUGAGUUGAUGUCUGCUACUUGUUAUGAGUUCAUUUGAAGCCAUGCUCUAACUAGAAGAAGGAGUCAUGAUCAGUGAAACCUGCACUACUACAGAAAUGGGAGUGAUGAAAGUAGUCUUAGUUGCUAGUUGUACCAAGAGGACAGUUGUGACUUCAGAUGUGACUUUAGAUAAGUAUACUUUGACAAAGUAUUACAUUGCCUUUAGCAAUAAAAUGUUUGUCACUGCUUUUCUUGCAUA